UGUUGCUGUGAGACUCGCAGUACUGAAUGCGAUCAACCAAGGAUGGAGAAACAUCACUAUGGUACUGGACAACAGGGAGCUGGUGGAAUGCAUUAAGAAAACAAGAAACAGCAACCAACUGAUGGCUACUCUAAUAGAUGACAUUCAGUCCAUAAGUAAUUUGUUUCAUAAGUGUUCUUUCUCUUUUGCUAAUUCAAGGUAUGUAGGAAGUAUUAAGUUGAGCUUGCAUGCUCUAAACAUCUUUUUAGAUGAAGAAUGGGUGAAUCCAAUCUUAGGUGCUAGGCACCAACAAUUUUUGUAGAACGGUAGUCCUUUUGAUUGGACCUUUGUCCAAAUACUGUAAAGUAUUCGGUUAUAAAUAUAAAGCUAACGUUUCGAC
rnacentral:lncRNA from 1 species